GGCUUAGAGUUUGAUCAUGGCUCAGGAUGAACGCUAGCUACAGGCUUGACACACGCAAGUCGAGGGGCAUCAGGAAGAAAGCUUGCUUUCUUUGCUGGCGACCGGCGCACGGGUGAGUAACACGUAUCCAACCUGCCCUUUACUCGGGGAUAGCCUUUCGAAAGAAAGAUUAAUACCCGAUAGCAUAAUGAUUCCGCAUGGUUUCAUUAUUAAAGGAUUCCGGUAAAGGAUGGGGAUGCGUUCCAUUAGGUUGUUGGUGAGGUAACGGCCCACCAAGCCUUCGAUGGAUAGGGGUUCUGAGAGGAAGGUCCCCCACAUUGGAACUGAGACACGGUCCAAACUCCUACGGGAGGCAGCAGUGAGGAAUAUUGGUCAAUGGGCGUUAGCCUGAACCAGCCAAGUAGCGUGAAGGAUGAAGGCUCUAUGGGUCGUAAACUUCUUUUAUAUAAGAAUAAAGUGCAGUAUGUAUACUGUUUUGUAUGUAUUAUAUGAAUAAGGAUCGGCUAACUCCGUGCCAGCAGCCGCGGUAAUACGGAGGAUCCGAGCGUUAUCCGGAUUUAUUGGGUUUAAAGGGAGCGUAGGUGGACUGGUAAGUCAGUUGUGAAAGUUUGCGGCUCAACCGUAAAAUUGCAGUUGAUACUGUCAGUCUUGAGUACAGUAGAGGUGGGCGGAAUUCGUGGUGUAGCGGUGAAAUGCUUAGAUAUCACGAAGAACUCCGAUCGCGAAGGCAGCUCACUGGACUGCAACUGACACUGAUGCUCGAAAGUGUGGGUAUCAAACAGGAUUAGAUACCCUGGUAGUCCACACAGUAAACGAUGAAUACUCGCUGUUUGCGAUAUACAGUAAGCGGGCCAAGCGAAAGCAUUAAGUA
rnacentral:rRNA from 1 species